GACGAACGCUGGCGGCGUGCCUAAUACAUGCAAGUAGGACGCUGAAGGAGGAGCUUGCUUCUCUGGAUGAGUUGCGAACGGGUGAGUAACGCGUAGGUAACCUGCCUGGUAGCGGGGGAUAACUAUUGGAAACGAUAGCUAAUACCGCAUAAGAGUAGAUGUUGCAUGACAUUUACUUAAAAGGUGCAAUUGCAUCACUACCAGAUGGACCUGCGUUGUAUUAGCUAGUUGGUGAGGUAACGGCUCACCAAGGCAACGAUACAUAGCCGACCUGAGAGGGUGAUCGGCCACACUGGGACUGAGACACGGCCCAGACUCCUACGGGAGGCAGCAGUAGGGAAUCUUCGGCAAUGGACGGAAGUCUGACCGAGCAACGCCGCGUGAGUGAAGAAGGUUUUCGGAUCGUAAAGCUCUGUUGUAAGAGAAGAACGAGUGUGAGAGUGGAAGGUUCACACUGUGACGGUAGCUUACCAGAAAGGGACGGCUAACUACGUG
rnacentral:rRNA from 1 species